AGAUCAUAUGAAUAAUACACAAAGUAAAAAUAAGUCAUUUAUUUUAAGAGAGAGAGAGUAUAAACUUAAACUAGUCCACACUACAAGAAAAAAGGAAAAUAGCGGCUGUCAAGUAGCAGCGGUUCUAGGCCAACUGUCGCCGCCUACACCUUUACCAGCGGUUUCAAACUGCCGCAGUCGUCAGUGUAUUACCGUCCGUUCAAACCGCCACUGUUUCUAAGCGACGGUCCAAUAGCCGCUGUUAUCAAGAUCGAUGACGCCGUAGUUCCAAAUCUUCUGAUCCACAGUUGUUGUUCCUCUAGUCACCACCGUAGCUGCUCUUCAACACAGGUUUCAGUUUCACUUGUUAGUCUUCUCUCUCUGGAUCUCUGAUUAAUCUCUUGUUAAUUUGUUGUUAACUUGAUUAUGCUGACUUUGAGUGAUGAUAAUUUGUUAAUUUCUUGGAUUCUUUACAGUUUGAUUUUAGGGUUUUUGAGUUUAGUGGUUUAAUUUCUUGGAUUCUUUUACAAUUUUGUUAGGGUUUUGAUAGUUUGUUAAUUCUCUUGAAUUUCAUAUCUUUUUUGAAUUAAAGCCUCAAAUGAAAAAUUAAACCUUUCAAAACUCUAUCACUCAAAAUCUGGAUUUGGUUACAUACCAAAUUAGUUGUUUGCUAUUUUUACAAAGUUUAGAGGGGUUGAAUAUGAAAUAUAUGAUGUUAAGAUGUGCGAGAGUAAUUACAAAAGGUGUUAGAGGUUUCAAGAAAUGUUGUGAUCCAGAUAUGUGAGACCUCAAAGGUUGUGUUUUGCAAUGUUUAUUCAGUUGGCAUAUAACAAUGGCCUAUUGCCCUAUUCCUUCAUUUAAAUACUCAAAAAAUUUGUGUGAAUUUCUAAUAUGUUGUGAUUCUGUUAAACAACUGUCAUGUUGGGGAUCCAAAGAAGGAUUUUAAUCGAACCCAUCCAGGGUCUAAUUUGUAGCAUUCAUAUCUUACAUUUCUUGAUAUUGGUUUCAUGCCUCAAACUUGUGACCUUCCUAAUAACAUGGCAAUACUUCUUACCAUUGUGUUAAGGACUUUAGGCUCUCCCCUCUCCUGGUAUUGCUUUAAAUAUGUAGUGCAGUUAAACUCUUGAUUGUUUUUGCUGAAUCCAUCAGAUCUUUCAGGUUUCUAUAGUUUCUCUCGCAAUUAGAGUUUUUUUGGUUGAGUUUGUAUUCAGUAUGAUGCUUAUAUGGUAUUAGUAGAUCAGUAAAUAGUAGCAGUGAACAUUGUUUUCUCACUUCUCAGAGUGCUUAUUUGGUAUUCAGUGCAGUAAAACUCUUGCUAAUUUUUUGUUGCUGAAUCCAUCAGAUCUUUCUGGUUUGUACAGUGUCUGUCACAAUUAUGGAAUUCGUGUUGCACUUGAUGGAUUUGUCUUUCCAAUACAUUGCUUAUUUGGUAUUACUGUAAUAGAUUAAUAGAUUGGUACUUGGUAGCACUGAACAUUGUUCUCAGAGUUUAUUAGGUAGUUGACUUGGCUGUCGUAUAUGCUGGUGGAGGUAAAUAAAUAUGAAUUCUAUGAUGGAUAUGUUAUGUUAUGCUCAUUUCAUCUCACUUCACCAGAUCAUGAUUGAGCAUCAGAUUAAAUGUUUUUAAUCAGGUAAAAAUGAGGUAAUGAAGUAUCCAUGUAUAGGGUUCAAAAUAAUGCUUUACUGAGGUUAUGUCUAGGCCUUUGAUUAUCUCAACAAUGUGCCUGUUCAAGAGUCAUCCCUACAACACAACAAAAAGAAAUAAUCUGCUAUAAUUCCCUCACAUAUUAGAAUACAUUCCGCACACUCACAAUAUUGCCAAGACUAAUCUAGUGCAAUUAGGAUUUCAUACCAACAUGACUUUUUAAUUAAGUCUCCAAAUGGCAAGAAUCAAAAUUUUGCCAAGAAUAGGGAGUAAAACUAAUAGCAUUAACAGGGUCCUACUUGUAGACAUCAAGCUUGGGGACUUGAGUAUUAGAAGAAUAUAGUCUGGUCGUUUUCGUUGGUACUAGUCAUCAUGUGACAAAACUUAUAUGUCAUAGUUUGGUUAUUUAAAUUAUGAAAUUUAUGAUAAUAAACCCUAUUUAAAUUGUCUAAGCCAAGGUCAUGAUGUUUGAAUUUUGAAGUUAGUAUUGUAAUCAUACAACAUUCUCAAGUCUCAACGAAACAACUCAAGCAUGUUAUAGUCUUAAAUCUUAAUCUAUGAUAAUACUGGUGAACAUGAACAUGAAAAUGCUGCUCAGCAUGCAAAGCAAACCAUCCCACACACUCUUGGGACAAUGACUUUGGCACGAUUGAAGCAUAGAUUGGAAGUGGCAGACAGAUGCCGUUAUUCAAGAGGUGAUAUGUAUUCCAUAUCACAUAACGGAAACGAUGAAGCAAAGAAAGAGUGAGGAGUUAUAAACACAUCGUCAAGAAAAUUCUUCUUUGAAUGAUGCUGCAUACACAACGGUUUUUGAAAAAGAACAUCUAGGACGUGUUCGAGGUGUGGGAUGGUGUUCUCCCAUCUCAAUACCUUGCUAUGAGGCAGGAUCUGGAUGCAGGUUCCAAACAUGGACUCUCGUACGAAAGGAAGACCUUAUUCAGCAAGUCAUGAACCCCGACCCUGAAUUAGAUUUUAAUGAUUUAUCAUGUGGUACUUUGGCAUCUUUUGAAGUAGGGUGGUUAUUGAGUACUUAAUACUUAAGUAUAUUUGAAGUAGGUGCUAAUUACUUUGAUAUCUUUUGAAGUAUGUUUUAGAUAUGAACAAUUUGAUAUUGUAAUA